GACGAACGCUGGCGGCGUGCUUAACACAUGCAAGUCACGGGGGCCCGCAAGGGCAACCGGCGAACGGGUGCGUAACACGUGAGCAAGCUUCCGAUUAGUGGGGGAUAGCCGGCCCAACGGCCGGGUAAUACCGCAUACGUUCACUGGACGGCAUCGUCUGGUGAGGAAACCUCCGGGGCUAAUCGAGGCGCUCGCGGCCUAUCAGCUAGUUGGCGGGGUAACGGCCCACCAAGGCUAUGACGGGUAGCUGGUCUGAGAGGAUGGCCAGCCACAUUGGGACUGCGACACGGCCCAGACUCCUACGGGAGGCAGCAGUGGGGAAUAUUGCGCAAUGGACGAAAGUCUGACGCAGCGACGCCGCGUGUGGGAUGAAGCUCUUCGGGGUGUAAACCACUGUUGCCCGGGACGAACCUCCCCUUUCGAGGGGACUGACGGUACCGGGUGAGGAAGCACCGGCUAACUCUGUGCCAGCCGCCGCUUGUAAGAC
rnacentral:rRNA from 1 species